ACGAUUAGGGACACGAAAAAAGUAUCGAUACUUUAUGGUAUCGAGUAGGUUUCUUUUCGAUACCGAUACUUUUGUACUCGAUAACUUGUAUUCGAUACUUUUACUUACCAAGUACUUUUGACAGAUAUCGUAUCGAAUAAAUUACUUGUUUUUUUAUUUAUUCAUAAUUUAUGGCAACAUUUGCAACGCCAUCUUGUUCAAUCUUGCUGAAGCUUUCAUUCAUAGAGAUAGUUCCGUUGCCGGUAGGUUGCCGGAUUCACAUUUCAUUUGUUUAAUUAGUCUAUGGUUCAUUGGCUGUACUGUAGCUGUAUGGACUUAGAUCCCUUUGCCUAACCUCACGAAAAAAUCAUACAAAAAAAACUCUGGUUCAUUCGUUCGUUGUUGUUAACUGACAGUUGGUUGUUAUUUAUAACAUGUUGAUAUUUAAUGAUUUUCUUGCAUUAUUGAUAAAUGAUAAUUGACUUAUUGAUAUUUCAACCUAUUCAGAACAGCACUCACAAUUAUUCUGUGUUUGUAUCGGGAUUUGAAUCAGUGCAAUAUCCAAAGAAUGCCGCCUACCAAGAGUGACGUUUGGCAGUAUUUCGUCAAGAUUAACAAAGAUGAGGUGAAAUGUAAGAUUUGUUUCAAAACUUUAAAAUCGUCAGGGAAUACGUCAAACAUGAAUAAACAUUUAAAGAAACACCCUAAUUCUGAUCUGAUGCCUCAAGUGUAAAAGGAGAUAAAAAACAAACGACGAUGUCGACGAUUCAGAAAAAGUUAGAACUGUCGAAUUUAACGAGUCGUGAUCACGAACCCCAACCAUCAACAAGUACAUCGAAAGCACCUGAAUCAGAUGCAUUGCUAACAACUCCUUCACCAUCUGAUGUCGAGAGAAUUCCAAUAGUAAUCAGUGGUGAUGGUGAGUUAGAAGAAACCUAUGCACCACCUCCAAAAAAAAGGCAACUUUCAAUUGUACAAUCAAUGGAACGAAAAUACUCUUAUUUGGAUGGAGGAAAAGAUUAUUUGAAACUCUGCAAAUGUUUGCUUUAUUUUAUUUGCGUUGAUAAAAGACCGUUUGACAUUGUGAAAGGGCGUGGGUUUAAAAAAUUGAUGCAUCAAGCAUGUCCAUCAUUUAAAAUUCCUCAUGUAGAUACCCUUAAAGCACAAUUCGAACACUUUUAUAGUGUAAUGCGUUUGAAAAUAGAAAAUAUAUUUGACAAUGUAGAUCACGUGGCAUUAACCUGCGAUAUUUGGAGUGAGAUGAUGACUGUUACCAGUUAUUUAGGGGUUACUGCUCAUUAUUUGCAAGAAGACAAACUGGUGUCACGUUGCAUAGCUACCGUUGCACUGGAUCAGCGUCAUACUGGUGAUUUUAUCGCUGAAAAAUUAAAAGAAAUUUGUGCAGGUAUACACAUCAGUUUGGAUAAAAUAACUGCAGUAGUUACAGACAAUGGCUCGAACAUGAUAGCCGGCAUAGCAAAUUUUCUAGAAAAGAACAAACAUUUAUCUUGCUUUGCUCAUACAAUUAAUCUAAUUGCUGAAUCUGCCAUGUCAGUCAAUGAUUUAGGAGCAUUAGUAAGCAAGGUACGAGACAUUGUAAAAUUUUUCAAGAGCAGUGUAAUCCUCAGUGACUCUUUACGUCAAAAGCAAACUGGGUCUCAACCUCUCAAACUGAUUUUAGACGUGAAGACUCGGUGGAAUUCCGUCUAUUAUAUGCUACAGAGAUACAUUGAAUUAGCACCAAUAGUUCAUCAAAUUUUGAUGUUAAAUACAAAAGCACCACCCACACCAUCGGCUGUAGAAAUGCAAAAUAUUAAAACAUUGAUUUGUAUUUUGAAACCGCUGGAGUAUGUAACCAAAGAGUUAUCAGGUGAACAGUAUGUAACCAUUAGUAAAAUAAUUCCGAUGGUGAACUGUUUGAAGACGCAGAUUAAUACUAUACCUAUGGCUGUAGGUGAUGGUGAUGAUCCCCAUGGAAAGGUAAUAGAUACAGUAAAAAAAGAAAUCCUAAAACAGAUAGAACGCCGAUUCGGACAUAUUGAAGGUAAUUAUUUGAUUGCAAUGUCAUGUUUGCUAGAUCCGAGAUUCAAGAAUAUCCAUUUUCAGGACGCUAAAGCUUGUGCAAAGGCAAUUUCUUCACUGAGAAGAUAUAUAACAACGUCUCCUAGUGUUAUCGGCAGCGAUCAUGACAGCGAUUCCUCUCUUGAAACAACUUACGAUUUUUGGAGUCACCACAAGAAAUUAGCUCACACGAAAAAGCGAAGUAAAACCAGUGCUUCAUCACAGUUUGAAAAUAAGGAUGAAAUAAGCCAUUAUUUAUCUACACAGGUUUCGCCACUCUCUUUGGAUCCUCUGAAACAAUGGGAAGACAUGAAAGUUGUUUUCCCAAAAUUAUAUAAAUUGGCACGAGAAUUUUUAUCGAUUCCUGCGACUUCAGUGCCCUCAGAAAGAUUGUUUUCGAAAGCUGGAAGUACAAUUACUAAAACCCGUAACCGCCUAUCGCCAAAAAGGCUCGACAAACUUCUUUUCUUGAGCGAUUGUACCGAGGAGGAAUGGGAUUUAUAAUAUUUUAGAUUAAAAAAUUGUGGCUUUACUUA